AGUGAACGCUGGCGGUAGGCCUAACACAUGCAAGUCGAACGGCAGCACAGUAAGAGCUUGCUCUUACGGGUGGCGAGUGGCGGACGGGUGAGGAAUACAUCGGACUCUACUUUUUCGUGGGGGAUAACGUAGGGAAACUUACGCUAAUACCGCAUACGACCUACGGGUGAAAGCAGGGGAUCUUCGGACCUUGCGCGAUUGAAUGAGCCGAUGUCGGAUUAGCUAGUUGGCGGGGUAAAGGCCCACCAAGGCGACGAUCCGUAGCUGGUCUGAGAGGAUGGUCGGCCACACUGGAACUGAGACACGGUCCAGGCUCCUACGGGAGGCAGCAGUGGGGAAUAGUGGACAAUGGGGGCAAGCCUGAUCCAGCCAGACCGCGUGGGUGAAGAAGGCCUUCGGGUUGUAAAGCCCUUUUGUUGGGAAAGAAAAGCAGCAGGUUAAUACCCCGCUGUUCUGACGGCACCCAAAGAAUAAGCACCGGCUAACUUCGUG
rnacentral:rRNA from 1 species